UAUUGCGAUCUAAAAGUUUUCGGGUAUAAUCGAAUGCAAAAUUUUUUGAAAAUCUAUGGUAGAAGUAGCGGCCUCCACCAUCAACUGUGAUCGGAUUUGUACAAUAUUCCUGAGAUUUGAUGCUGAAAUAGUGUGUAAUACCUAAAGCGCGAUUACCAAUUCAUGAGCAAUUACACACUAUUUCGGCAUAAUCGUGAGAUUAAAUUGAUAAUCGUGAGCAACUACACAAUAUUCUCCUCGAUUUCAGUUUCACCCCUUUUUUUAAAAAAAAUUAUUUUGUUCUCCUUAUUCUCCUUUCAGUAGAAUCUCCUACUUGCAGUUGAAUGAAUGAAGCAUUUUUUAGCAAUUCUCUUAUGAAUCAAACUUAUUGCACGAGUUUCCCCCCCCAUUUUGCGAUAUAUUUUGUAAUAUCCCCUUGAGAUGAUAAUUAAAUUUUGGGAAAACUAAGUAUAUUAUUAGGCAAAAAUGAAGAAAAAAUAAUUCUCUAUGAUCUAAAAGAAAAUGGUGGUGCUGGAGAAGUCGAGGGACGACGUGUUGGUGCUGGAGAAGUCGAGGGACAACGUGGUGGCGGGGCCUCAGACGGACAAUGGCCUCGGCAAGCUCAGCGACCUCUCCAACAAGUUCUUGGCGGUUAAAGGAAAAGAGAGAGCUGAGAGAGCUGAUAAGGAAGUUGGUGGGGAACGGAACAAGGAAAAGACUGGUGAGAAGGAGGCAAAAGGUAAAGCUCGAGUUACAGAUUGGAAUGCUGGUAAAGGAGAGGAAAAAGGCAAAGCUCGAGGUUUAGAUCGGAUUACGGAUAAGAAGACGGAGCUCAAGAAGACAGGUGGUAUUGUCUGUUAUUCUCAUUAGCGUAAGGUGACGGGACCUCGCGGGAGACUUGCCUCUUCAUCGUCGCCGGCUACCCCUACAGCUAUUUCGACGCCGGUCCGUUCUCAAGGAAGGAAUGAGAGAUCGAAGGCUUUAGUCAAGAAGCCAGGAGUUAUUGCGGGCACCUACGCGGGCGUAAACAGGACUGAUGGAGGCUCAGCAUCUAAUAAGAAGGUGUUAUGGGCUGAUGAAGUGGGGUUGGCAUUAACUCACAAUGCUCUAGGUUGUUCUGAGGACCCUACUCUCAUACCUCGAUCAUCUGACACGUCGACGAUUCACACCAGAAGGAGAUCUGACACGGGAAUUGGGAAGACCAGACCCUCCGUCGCUUCAGGUUUAUACAAGACUUAUAAGGAAGCUCUUCUCACACCCACACCCACACCCCAGCGAGCCACCCGUAGCGGUCAGGGCGCCAAGUUCACUCCAGUCUUCAAAUCCCCGCCCACAUCUUUCUUCACGGGAAAGUGUUUCAGGUGCCUGGCUACUAAUCAUCGGGCGGCUAGUUGUCGAGCGCCACUCCAGUGUGUGCGGUGCUUCAAGACCGGCCACGUCGCAAGAUCCUGCGUGGACCGGUUGCCAAUGGUGGUCUACAGGGAGAUGAGGGCUCGACCGUCCUAUCUCAGUGCUUUUGUUCCACUGUCAGAAGAUUUCUUCUCCAGGCAGAAUCGCUGUCGCAACGCGAUUCUGGUCGACGUUCUUCCCCCCAAGAACCUUGGUCAUUUCCCUCAGGAGACGAUUGCCAACGGGUUGGCGAGUCGUUUCGGCGGCUUCCCUACCGACUUUCAUGUUGCCAAGUAUAGUCAACGUGAUUUUCUGAUCUUUCUCCCGGAGUGGGUGCCGGCGGAUCAGGUGAUCAGAAGAGAGAUUCUGUCGCUAGACAACCUUAGACUCCACUGCUCCCCCUGGAAUCCCUACCAUGGGCUUCGUCGGGCCUCGCUCAUGUACAACGUCUGGAUCCGGUUGGUAUGUUUACCAUAUGAGUGUUGGUCCUCUCGCACAGUGGCAGCUUUGGUUGGCGGUUUCGGUCGUUUCAUACGGGCGGACGACUUCUCGACACGCAUGGUGGAUCUCACAGGAUACCGAUGUCUCAUCGCUGUCAACUUCCUCUCCGACAUCCCGGAAAACUUAGAAAUCACUGUGGGGGAUCACUCGCUCUCGGUGCUUAUCCAGCUAGAGAGAUGGGGCCGGCGCGACGUGGUCGAUCCUGGCAAUCCCCCUAAUGAACGGACCGAUGCUCAUGACCCAUCGCAGAGAGGUCCAGAAGCGCAUCGCCGUUCAGACGAAUCUAGAAGAGGGCGACGUUCGUCGGCCGGCGGCUCUUCAAGUACGGACGCAUCCUGGAACUCGUCGGAAAUCCGGGACAGAAGGAGAGAUGUUCUUGUUCAGGAUGCUUCGCUGCUUCGGAAACCUGCUCCCACUCCGGCUGACUCCCAGCAGGGCCAGGAGGAUACGACUAGGCUGGGUCCGGCGAUCGUCGGCGCGAGUGGGCCAACGGUCUGGAAUUCAAAUUUGGCUGAUGUUGAUGUGGCAUUGAAUGCGAUCUCUGACGGGGCGGCGGGCGACGUUCCUUCGGAGGCAAAUGGAUUAGUUCUUGUCAAUGCUUCGGGUUUGGUGCCUAUGGGAGAUGCAAAGAUGAAGCAAUGCAUUGAUUACUAUAGCUGUGAAAAGCGGGCCAGCUUGAUUUCGGAGAUCUCGUCAUCCAUCUCGAGAACUGGGCAGGGGGUGGUCGUUUGCUUUCGCCCGAAGCGGGCCCACUUGAUCCCCCUAGGCAUUGGGCUCGGUACUGUUCCGCAGGCCAGUCACGCUAUUGAGGGGUGGGGCAGGCAGAUGGCCCACUUGGACCCGGUUUCAGAUGGCCUCGGGUUUGAUAAGGGGCUCGGGAGUGGUCUUAGUUUGCGGGCCACGCAUGUCUCUGGGGGAAGGGGUCAACUCGGCCCGCACGAAGCUGGGGGUGGUGGACGCGGCCCUCUUCCGUGGCCCUCUCACUUUUUUGCGGGGACGGGCAAGCAGAGGGUCCACUUGGUCCCGGGUGCAGACGGGCUCGGGACUGGAGUUGGGCUCGGCUAUGGAACCUUUGCGCGGAUGCAGACGGGCUCGGGACUGGAGUCGGGUGCAGAUGGGCCCGUGACCGGGGUCGGACUGGGCUGUGGUUUCUUUUCGCGGGCCACGACUGGCGCCGUGGGGUGGGGCCGACUUGGCCCGCGCGGAGUUUGGGCCUUUUUUCUGUUUUGGUGGGGGCCUACUGGAUUCUCUGUUGCCGGACCUGGGGGGAUCUGGCGGUUCUCUUUGGUAGCUGCUCCUUCGUUUUCGGGUUUCUUUGCCAUGCUUUUUCGCUCGGGACCCGAUCGCCCCCCCUUACUCCUCGGCCCGGUGGUUGGAGGGGAAGGCGGGGAGCCCCUCUCGAACGGCGACGUUGCCGUUCGGUCGGCAGGUGGACUGGAGACCUAUCAGAUAUUGGGGGCUGUCAAUAUGGAAUCGGCAUGUCGGGAAUGCGCACAGGAGCCCUCUCCCAUAAAUGGUACGGAAAGAUUUAAUUCCGGCUCGCCUGUGGCGGGAGUGAUCAACGGAACGAUGGUCGGGAAGGUACUCUUGUUGCCCGAUAACAGGGGCGUUUGUUCGCCGGUGGGGAUAGUAGCGGGGAUUACUUCUUUGCCCCCCAAUACUGUUCCCUUGACCGUUGAGACGACUACUGAGGUCGGGUUUCCCCAGUGUGUGCGCCGUCGUUCGACCAGAGCUUGUGUGAGGCUGAAAUCGGUAGGCAAUGUAUCGGCGCUUGACCGGGCGAAACUGAGGAAGGCUUUCCUGCUGGAAGGGGAGAACACUGGACCGAAGCCCGCAGACGACUCUCGGAUCAUUAGAAAAGUUGUGAAGAAAAGUGCGCUUUGUAGAGUCAAGCUUACGGGGGUGGAAGCCGAGGAGCUCCACAAGUUCUCGACGCGGGGUUGACCUGUAGUGGGCCUUUUUUUGUGUUUGGGCCGCCUUUUGGUUGUGUGUCGCUUUCCUUAUGUUUAAUAUUAUUACUUGGAAUGUACGCGGUCUGAACGACUCAUGUAAGCGUCGUAGUGUUAGAGCUAUCAUAUCUAAACACGUUGGUUCGGUGAUUUGUAUCCAAGAAUCAAAAGUGGAUUCGGUGUCUCGUUCCUUUCUCCGGUCUUGUUGUGGCUCGAGUUUCGACAGAUGUCACUUUAUCCCCGCUCGGGGAGCAUCGGGCGGUCUAUUCACUUGUUGGAGCUCAAAAUUUUUCGUUUGUACGGAGGCGUUGGUGCGCGAUCACUCGCUCACUCUCAGCUUGAAUCAUAUUACUAGUGAUACGAGCUUUUACCUUACGAAUGUAUAUGGACCGCCAUCGUGGGAUGGGAAAGAAGAGUUCUGCGCCGAGCUAGUCGCUAUCGGUGCGGUGUGUUCCGGAUAUAAAUGGGUUAUUUGUGGGGAUUUCAACUUUACUAGAAACCAGGCUGAACGCACUGGGAAUCGGGGGAGCACUAAAGCGAUGUCAAUGUUCUCGGACCUCAUUUCAAAUCUCGAAGUCAUCGACCUGCCCUUGUCCAACCAAAAUUUUACUUGGUCUAAUAUGCAACGCUCACCAACCCUGGCCAAACUGGAUAGAUUUCUUGUCUCGACAGAUUGGGAUCAAGGUUUCCCGCUCAGCAGGAUUUCCGCGCUACCUAGAAUUAUCUCCGACCACACCCCUUUAAUACUCGAUACUGGAAACUUGCGCACUAAGAGGACAUUUCGGUUUGAGAAAGUGUGGCUCACUAGGCCGGACUUCAUAAAUUACGUACCGAUCUGGUGGAACGAAGUACCCGGGCAGAGGUCAGCCAUCCUUACGCUGACAGCGAAGUUGAGACAUUGCAGAAACAGGAUGAAGGAAUGGUGCAAGACAAAAUUCCAUAGCAUAUCUAACGCAAUAAGAACUUUACAGGAUGAAAUUCGAAACAUUGAUCUCUCGGAGGAACGGGAUAUCUUGACCCAGGAAGUACGGGAUAAACGAGUUGAACUUAAAGCACAACUCCAACUCAUACUAAAGGAGGAAAAAAUCCUGUGGAGAACGAGAGCUAAACAGCACUGGCUAAAAGAAGGAGACAACAACACAAAGUUUUUCCAUGCAGUGGCCAAUGGGCGGAAGCGUUGUAAUGAGAUUCACUCCAUUGAAGAUGAGGACGGUAGACAAAUCUGUAACGAGGAGCAUAAGAAAUUCUGUUUCUUUCAAUCCUUUAAACGCCUUUUCGGGAGUGUGGAAGAUGACCCGCCUUCUUUCGGCGAUUGGGCGGACUUGUAUCGAGAGGACGCCUUACCUGACUCGGACCCCCUCACAUGCCCCUUCACUUUAGAUGAAAUUAAAAAGACUACCUUUCAACUGGGAAGUGACAAGGCGCCUGGCCCCGACGGCUUCCCGUUAAUUUUCUUUCAACACUUCUGGGAGACAGUAAAGGAUAACAUUCUUGAUAUAUUCAGAGACCUACAUGGCAUGGAUCUCUUCACGGGACCGGUCGACUACACGCAUGUAUGUUUAAUCCCCAAAAAGGAAGGAGCUCGCCUGGUUAACGACUUCAGACCGAUUUGCCUCCUGAACGGAAUGCAAAAGAUUAUUUCUAAAGUUCUUGCGAACAGACUUGCAGGGCUCUUACCAUCGAUAAUCUCUCCGUCACAAUCGGCGUUCUUGGAAAAUCGCCUAUUAGCGGACUCUUUCGCCACUGCGACCGAACUCCUCAACUGGUGUGCAAAAACUAAUAGGGAGUGUGUCAGUGUUAAGGUGGAUUUCGAGAAAGCGUAUGACAAAGUCAGCUGGAGGUUCUUGCAAAGUAUAUUACGUUGGCUUGGGUUUAGCGACAAAUGGUGGAACUGGAUCGAACAAUGUAUCUGUAACGCUAAAGUUGCCAUUGUAGUAAACGGUUCGCCGACUAACUGGAUGAAAACAAGGAGGGGACUGCGACAGGGGGACCUAUUGUCCCUCUACUUAUUCAUUUUAGUGGCUGACUGUCUCGCUAGGGUCACGAAAGCAGCAAGGACUAAUAGUUUACUUCAGGGAAUAGGACCCUCAGACGAGUGUCAAACUGUAAUUCUGCAGUAUGCGGACGACACUUUAUUCUUUUCAAAGCCUAAGAAGUCUGCUAUGCGUAAUCUACUUUUCAUCUGGAAGAUGUUUGAAUGGGCUUCUGGUCUUAAGAUAAAUAUAAACAAGACGGAACUUUACCACUUGGGAAUUACCGCAAACAGAGCGAAACGAUAUGCAGAUAUUUUGGGAUGCAGAGUCGGCAGCCUACCGUUCCGAUACUUGGGUCUUCCGCUACAUAUCAACCCCCUCCGUAAGGAAGAGUGGUCGCCGAUCAUCAACCGCAUUGAGACGCGCAUCGACGGAUGGAAGGCUAAACUCCUCUCGCAAGGGGGGAGACUCAUCUUGGUCAACUCGGUACUUUCGAAUCUUCCGUUAUUUUACUUUGCAAUCUUCAAAGUACCACAAUGGGUGUUGAAGCGAAUUGAAGCGCUUAGAAGAUCCUUCUUCUGGAAAGGGUGUUCCAAUAUUUCGGGAGGCUCAUGCCUUGUUGGUUGGAAAACGAUGUGUAGAAGCAAAAAAGAAGGAGGUCUAGGGAUAAAAGAUAUGGAAGCUAUGAAUAAGGCGCUUUUAGCAAAAUGGUGGUGGCGUUUCUUUAACGAGAAAAGCCUGUUAUGGGGGAGGUUAAUCACUGCAUUAUAUUACACCAGAAGAAGGCCGUUACGCGAAGGCAGAUCCUUUAGACCUUACUCAGAAUGGUGGAGAAGUGUAAUGAGCUGUCGAGACGUGUUCAAAAGUGGUGUUUCGUAUGCUCUUGGCAAUGGAAAAAAUAUCAGGUGGUGGUCGGAUAUUUGGAUCGAUGAAACCCCUUUUGGUACCCGAUUCCUACGAAUCUUCAGCAGUAUCACAAAUCAGGAAGCCACGGUUGCACAAUGUUGGAAUGAAAGAGGAUGGAGAUGGCGCUUCUUAACCAGAGACUUUGAUACUCAUACCAGUGGUCAGAAUAGCCAACAGAAGGCGUUGCUCAAAAACCUCCUCUCUCACUUUAGCCCGUCAAAUUCAGAGGAUAUACUAAAGUGGCGAUGGACCGCCAAUCAAACUUUUACAGUCAAAUCACUUUAUGAAUUCAUUACCGACGGAUGAUAGAUUGAUACUUUGUACGAUCAACUAUGGGGGUUAAAAAUUCCGCUCAAACAUAAAGUUUUCAUUUGGAUUCUACUUCGAAAGAGAUUACCUACGGCAGACAGACUGCUGCGCCGAGGGUGCAUCGUGGAUCAGCACUGUAGGUUCUGUGUGUUACUAGCCGAAACAGGUGACCACCUAUUCCACGAUUGUAUCGUGGUCAGAUUUCUUCGUUUUAAAAUAGGAGCCUUUGAGGAGGAGAAUUCGGAUGUGGGGGAUGCACGCCAGCUGUGGACACAGUUCUCGGAUAUCCCCGUGGCCGUUACAAGAUCAAAAUUGUUAACCAAGUUGGCGGCAAUUUGGUGGGUUGUUUGGACGGAGCGCAAUGGCAUUUGUUUCCGCGAGGUGCCCUUUAACGUGUCUAGGGCUCUCGAACGUGUCGCCGUGUUGAUCGAAGCCUGGAACGAAACACUUUGAAUCUCUCCCGACCUCGGUGCUUGGCCCUCUGCUCACCUUCUGUUUAUUUUGGAUUGUUGGUGUUUACUGGGUUUCAUGGACCUCGUUUUUGUUCUCUUGUUUUUUUACUAUUAUUUUCUUUCUCUUGUUCCCUCGGUCCGGAAGUCUUAGCUGCUUCCAAGUUGUAAGCUAAAUUCAUUUCGCUUAAUGAAUGAAGCAGGUAGCUUGCUACCUAUUUCUCAAAAAAAAAAAAAAAAAAAAAAAAAAAAAAAAAAAUCUCCACAGUAAACUUAGUUCAUCUACUAGUGUCGUUGAACGCUGAUGUAUUUCAUCAACUCUUGUUGUUUUAUGCAUUCUUAUUCCUUGAUCUAAGAGGGUGAAAAUUUUUAACAUUCUCAAAAUUAAAAACUACUAUCAUACCCAACUUUGAUUGUUGAGACGUAAGUUUAAGAUUUAUACUUCGAAAUAGUAGGCAACGUGAACAAAAUUAUAGGCAAGGUUCAGAAUUUUAGGCUUACUGUAGAUUGAUAGAGAUUAUUAAUUUAUUAUUGAACUAGCUACUAAUUAAUAAUAUCGGCUGAAGGGCCGAAAUCUAAAAUCCAAAUCUAAUCCAACUUAAGUAUAUUCGUAUUUCUCGGGCUGGGCCACUAAGGACGAUGAGAUUGGGCUGAGCUUUCGACCUUCGUACUCUCAAAUUUAUUGUAUUUGCUCAUGCUCAAUCAUAUAUUUUUUAGAACCAAUAGACUCGAACCUGUAUCCUCAUCGAGUUCCCUUUCGAUGGAGAAAUUAUUGUUUGUGUCGAGUCCAUCAUAUCAUCCAGUGGUUUGGAAUAUUUCAACAUACAUCUUAUCACUUUUUUAAAGAAAUUAAUAUGCUAAUUAAUAUCAAAUAUUUGAGCUUUGUCAACAGCGGUAUAAAGGUACAUGCAAUAAUUUAUCGUCUCCUGAAUUAUUCCCCCCAUAUCAGGCACAAAUAAUUGGACUCUUUAUCAAGAAUUUAAACACCGUCGUAUGGAAUUUUAUUGAAAAUUUUAUUGGCACGGUGUGGCGUGGUGAUUCCGAAAAUUUACGACACGUAUCAUGUUAUAUCAUGCCGAUGUGUGUUGGUCAUAAAAAAAAUAUAUAUAUNCAAAAAAUUUAUCGAUACGGUACGACACGUAUCAUGUCAUAUCAUACCGAUAUGUGCCGAUGAUAAAAAAAAAUAUAUGUAUCGACACAUAAUGAUAUAAAAUAUUUAUUUUAUUUAGUAAUAAAAAAAUUUAAUUUUUUAUUAUGUAUUAUUAUCAAAUUUUUAGAAUUUUAUUAAAGAAAUUAUUUACUAAUUUAAAUAAUAUAAAGUUUUAAGCUGUGACAUUGGUACGGUGGUUGUAUCGUAUCGAUAUCUUGUAAGCACGAUAUGGCACGACGGAUAUGAUCCGUGCUGAUGUGCACUUAAAUACUUACUCUUUAUCCCAUCGAUCGAUGGGCAUUUAAAUCUUUAUUCUUUAUCCCAUCUAUAUUUUCGUUGCUUUACUUUGUUUAAAAAAAUUAAAUUAGUUUAUAACAGUGCUAUCGGUACAUGUAAAAAAAGUAUAAAUUUUAUAUUUUUUAAAUCCAAGGAUCUUUAUUGGAUUCUUAUUUUAUUGUUGUUUAUCAUGCUAAAAAUUAAAAAAAUUUAGGAUGAGCCUUGUACAAGUAGAGUAUUUAAAACAUUAUAUCUUUUAUUUUAUAAAUAAUAUCACGUUAUCAAAUUGGUAUAAUUAGAACUUUUUUUCUUGGUCUCAUAGGAAAACAAAGAGUGUCUUUAGAUGUUUUUGUCUCAAUUUCUUUUGGUGCUAGGUGAUCUUUAAUUAAAUAGAAAAUAAUUAAAUACAUUGGGCGCAAUCUCCGGUUAAGAAUAUUAAUUUUGCUUUAAAUUUUGUGCAUUACAUAAAUUUAAUGUUCUCUUCAAUAAAUUUUUAUUUUGCUGUUAAACUUUUUUUUUUUUUUCCUAUCUUAUACUUAGGGUAUGUUUGAUUCACCGAAAAUAAAGUAUCGAAAAUGACAUUUUUAGAAAGACGUUUUAUUGGUUGUUUAGUUUACGAAAGUGAAUAUAAAAGUCACUUUACGAAAAUGAGCUUAUAAAGUUAGUUAUAACUAAAUUUCACUUUUUUGAUUUCAGCUUAAAAAAUUUGGAAGUCACCGAAAAUAGAGAAAUUAACUAAGAGAUUAUAUUUGAUCUUAACUUUAAUAUUUAAAUUUAUUUUUAAAGUUCAAUUUCGCUUUAAAUUUGAAUUAAAAAUUAUGAUUACAUUCUAAAUUUUAUUUGUAAAUUAACAUUCAACAUAAAAUUCGAAUUAUGAAUUAAAAUGUUCAAUUCGAAUUGUGAUUUAAACUCAAAUUUUAAUUUUAAUUUAAUUUAAAUAUUGAUUUAAAUUGUGAAUUCAUAUUUGAAUUUAGAAUUUAAGAUCAAAGAGUAAAUUAAUAUAUGAUUCAAAUUAUAAAUUAAAAUUUUGAAAUCAAAUUUGAAUAAAUAUUUUAAUUUUUGAGUUGAACAUUUUUUUUAAAAUGUAUUUUCUGUUAUAAGUUAUAACUUAAAUUUUAAAUUCAAAUUGUAAAUUAAAUUUAUGUCUUAAAUUUUAAUUAUAAUUUCAAUUCAUAUUUACGUUUAAAUAUAAAAUAUAAUAUAAAUAUAAAUAUAAAUAUAAAUAUAAAUUUUUAAUUUAAAUUGCCCGUAUAAGUCGUUUGUUUAUUUUUCACAUCUUUGUAUAUAAUUUUAAUUGUUUAUUUUAUAGCCGACCAAAUAAUCGAAGUGAUAAGUCGACUCUCUAAAAGUCAUUUUUGUAAAAUUUCGUUUUUUAAUUUCACUCAUUUUUGAGCAACCAAACAUGCUCUCAUGGAAAGUAUUUACUGUAACUAGUAUAACAUAUAGAAUAGAGCAAUAUUAGGUGUACACUUCUAGAUUAGGUGUAAAAUGUAUAUCCGACUCAUCCAGUUGCCCUUUUUUUUUUAUUAAUCAUGUCAAGUAUUUUUUUUUAAUAUUAAAAGUUUUUAUAAAAUUUGUGAAUCCUUAGGUAGUGUUUGGUUCGGGAACAAGGGGGGGAAUAAGCCCUUGUUCCCCCCUUUGUUCCCAAACGCAAUUUUGGUUCCCGGAAACAGUAGUUCCUGGGAAUCUGGAACUAGCUGGUAUAAGGCUGGAACUGCUGUUCCACCCGUUUCCUGGAACAAGCUUGUUCCUUGAUGAGAACAAGAUUAAUUAAAAUCUAAAUUUAAUUUUAAUGGCAGUAAAUUAUUAAUUAAUCUAAUUAAUAUAUUUAAAUUAUUAUUUAUUACUUUAAUAAUUAAAUAAUUUAAAUAAUUUAUUAUUUAUAAUUAAAUAUUAAUAAUUAGAUAAUUAUUAUUAUUAAUUUAUUAUUUAUAAUUAAUUAUAAAUAAUUAAUAAUAUUCAUUAUUUUUUUAUUAAUAAUUAUUAUUCUUAAUGACAAUCGAUAUUAUUAUUAAUUUAUUAUUUAUAAUUAAUUAUUAAUAAUUAAUAAUUAUUAUUAUUUAUUAUUAAUUAUUAAUAAUUUUUAUUCUUAAUAAUUAGAUAAUCGAUAUUAUUAUUAAUUUAUUAUUUAUAAUUAAUAAUUAAUAAUUAAUAAUAAUUAUUAUUUAUUAAUAAUUAAUUAAUAAUUCUUAUUCUUAAUAAUUAGAUAAUGGAUAUUAUUAUUAAUUUAUUAUUUAUAAUUAAAUAAUAAUAAUUAUUAUUAUUUAUUAAUAAAUAUUAAUAUUAAUUAUUAUUAAUAAUUAGAUAAUCAAUAUUAUUAUUAAUUUAUUAUUUAUAAUUAAUUAAUAAGAAUAAUUAAUAAUUAUUAUUAUUUAUUAAUAAUUAAUAAUAAUUAUUAUUAUUAUUAAUUAGAUCAUCCAUAUUAUUAAUUUAUUAUUUAUAAUUAAUUAUUAAUAAUAAUUAUUAUUUAUAAUUAAUUAUUAAUAAUUAAUUUCUUAUUUAUUUUUAAGUAAUAUUUUUAUUACUAUUAAUUACAUAAUAUAAUUUUAAUUUCAAAUUAUAACUCUUAUUCCUCUUGUUCCAAUCUAACCAUCCAAACACUAUUUACCUUAUUCCUAGGAACAGCUCAAUUUUCAUCCAAACGCAAAAUUGGUCUAGUUCCUGCUUAUACCUGAACUUGUACCUAUCCCUAGAACUAGCAGUUCUUACUUAUAUCCGAACCAAACGCAGCCUUAGAUGAUAACGGGCAUGAAACGUACAUUUAUAUAUACAAUAUACAUAUAGCAUCUUCGUACAUAGAUAUUUUUAAAUUAAUUAUACUAUAACAUGGAGACAACAGAGAGGCAAAUCAAAUAUAAUAUAAUAAUUUUAUAUUAGCUUGAUAUUUUAAAAAUAUUUAUUUUCAUAUUUUUUUAUACUAUGUCAAAAUAUUUAAUAAAUUUUAUUUUUUUAGAGAAAAAUAAUAUAUUAUCUAUUUCGUUUAUUUUUAAAAAAUAAAAUUAGAUAAAAAUAUAAAUUAAUUAGAAUUCGAAUUAAAAAUUUUAAAUACCAAACAUCAAGGUUUUAAUAAAUUUUGUUAUUUUAAGACGAGGGUUAGUUUUAUAACUCAUUUCAGGUUGUAGGUUAUAACCUACUUAAAAAAAAAAAAAACUUUAGUUUAAUGUGGAAUAAUAAAAUUAAUAAGAAUGGGCACGGACUCCGGAGAGGACAUUUCUCCAUGCUCACCCAUAUCUUCCUUUCCUCUAUAUAAGUACCCAGCUUAGCAACAAAAGAGUAGCACCACAGAUACUGCUACCUGUAUUGCUACUACUGCUAUUGUGGCAACCAUGACAUUCACCAACUUGCUCAAGUUCUCCUCCUUCACUCUCCUUGCCCUAACUCUCCUCCACCGCUUCCUCCCAUCCCCCCCACUCCUCUCCUCGCUUUCCCACCGCCACCACCUCCUGCUCCUCCUCUCCUUCCUCUCCUGCACCCUCCUCUACCUCUACACCCGCCGCCGCCCCCUCCCCGUCUUUCUCUUCGACUACUCGUGCUACCUCCCCGAACCCGAACGCCGCAGCCGCCGCUUCUCCCACUCCACCGCCGACUUCAUGCGCGCCAUCUUUCUCAAAUCCGGCCUCGGCGACGAGACCUACGCUCCCCCCUAUAUCUUCCAAGAGGACUACGACGCCAAGUUCCGCUACGCCUUCCAAGAGGCCGAGGAGGGCAUGUUCUCCGCCGUCUCCUCUCUCCUCUCCAAGACCGGCAUCCCCCCCUCCGACAUCUCCGUCCUCAUCGUCGCCUGCAGCAUGUUCAGCCCCGUCCCAUCCCUCUCUUCCUUCCUCGUAAACCACUUCAACUUCGACCCUUCCGUUAAGACCUACAACUUAUCCGGCAUGGGGUGCAGCACCGGCACCACGUGCUGCGACCUCGCCGCCAAGAUCCUACGCAGCAAGCCCGGGCACGCUCUCAUCGUCGUCACCGAGAACAUGAGCUUGAACUGGUACUUCGGCGAGAACCGCCACAUGCUCGUCACCAACUGCAUCUUCCGCGUCGGCACCGCGGCCAUGCUCCUGACCAGCGACCCAAUCCGGCGCUGCUCCGCGAAGAUGGAGCUCGUGCGCGCGCUGCGGACGCACCACGGCGCGGAGGACGCGGCCUACAACGCGGCGGUGCAGAUGGAGGACGAGGACGGCAGCGUCGGCGUGUCGCUCAGCAAGGACCUCGUCCGCGUGGCCGGGGCCGCGCUGCGCCGCCACAUCUCCACCCUGGCGCCGCACGUGCUCCCUGCGUCGGAGCUCCUGCGGUAUGCGUGGAACGUUGCGAGGUCGUAUGCGGCGGGGGAUCAUAAGACGGUGCACGUGCCGGACUUCACGAAGGCGUUCGAGCACAUAUGCAUACACGCUGGGGGGAAGGCGGUGAUCGACGCGGUGGGGAAGCUGAUGAAGUUCUCCGCGGAGGUGACGGAGCCGGCGAGGAUGUGCCUGCACCGCUUCGGGAACACGUCGAGUAGCUUGGUGUUCUACGAGCUCGCCUACUUUGAAGCGAAGGGGAGGAUAAAGAAGGGGGAUAGGGUGUGGAUGUUGGCGUUCGGAACGGGGUUUAAGGCGUGUAGUGUGGUGUGGAAGGCUCUUCGGGACUCCGGGAUGGACUCGGAUAGCCCGUGGCAAGAGUGCAUCCAUAGAUACCCCGUUAAUUAAAAAAAGAAAGUUAUCGCCUGCACCCGAUGCACCCUACCCUAUAUUACCCCGUGCAUGCGUACCAUGCAUUCGUCAACUCUCAAAUCCUCUGAGGCCUAAGUUUGAAAACGUGGUGAAAAACAAAACUUGGAGAAUACUUCAUAACUUUUCCCAUUCCAUACUAUAAAAUUGCGAUAUAAACCAUCGCUGUGUACUCUUUUUUAUGUAGUAGUGAUCUUUGCUACCAAAUUAUUGUGUCGUAAAAAAAAAAAAAAAAAAAAAAAUCCAAGUUAUUCCGAUCCCCUCUAGAUUGUCAAAACACCUGUGUUUAUCUACCACAUUGUAAACCAGGCUUCAGUUUUAUUCUGAAUUCCUAUCGUCCGUUGUCUUACGUUGUAUUUUUUUGGUAAAAGUUAGAUUGCAUGAUUCGGGUGCAGUGCACAGAUGUAGACGGGGAGAGACAUGGGAAUGAAUGGUUGAAUUUGAAUUAUUUCUGCAAUAAAGCGUCUUAUGUACUACACUAUAUCAUCCAAUAUUAUCUACUAGUGCUUUCCGUAUGUUUGUACCGUGUCAUAUAAUCUUUGCAUUUACUACAUCGUUAAUGUUCUUUUCGUUUUAAAGAAAAUUACAAAUCUAUCAAAGUUCGUCAUAGCACAGUAAUGAUCUUUGCCCGAAUGAAGAUCUUCGUGUUAGACGUCUUAAAUUUUUAGCAUUGCGAUCUAAAAGUUUUAGGGUAUAAUUGAAUGAGAAAUUCUUUCAAAUUCUAUGGUAGAAGUAGCGGCUUCCACCCUCAAACAUAUUGAAAGUCCGGAGAAUAUUCUAAUUUUAAUAGAUUGUGUUUGCUGAUAUAUUUAUAGCUAUUCUUUUUGUGGGCUUUUUUCUUUUCCUGAUAGGUCAAGCAUAGAUGUAUUUAUAUCUAGGAUCUUUUAGAAGCCUGGUGAUUUUAGCACUGCACCUUUUGAGUUAUAAUAAAUACUUCGAUCUAUUCUUACUCGCUCAGAGAUAUAGUCUAAUGAUUGAAUCAUAUAAAAUGUUUAUUUGACCGUUUUAUUUCUUUAUUUUUAAUUAUUUUUAAUACUUUAUGUAUAAGGAACUAUCUUCUUUCUUCUUUUUUUCUUUUUUUUUUUCGCAUUUUCGUGUGACAAUGCUUCCCAUUAGUAUACUAUACGAUCAUUCUUUAGUAUCUAUUCGGAUGCUCCCCACUAGCAACCUUAUUCCCCCUGUGGGUUGGUAUCACUUGGUUGCAACAACAAAUAGAAAAUGUGAGAGAACACCAACAGGGGAGGUGUGUUGCAGGGAAGUAAUGCAGUCACUGCGCACAAUAAAGUGAUGUGAGUGAUGACAACUGUGAGAAGGUCAAUUAUUUGUGCCGCUUCAGUUUUGGUAGGGCCAAGAAAGAUGAAUUUAUUUGAACUUCAAACCCUAAGACUAAGAGCUCCCAUGUCAGAGCUAGGCAUGCACGCGUUGUCUCUUUUCUUGUGAAAAUGGAAGUGCCUUAAAUUCCAUUUGGACAAAUUUAGCUUGUAGAGAAUUUCAGGUGGUCAAAAUUGAGCCCAAAAUCUGGGAAGGAGAUUCAGAUGUGGGCAAUUUGCUAGUUCAUUAACAGCCGAAUAUAUUUUAGUUUUUUUUUUUAGAAAAGAUAGCAAGUACGUUACCUACUUCAUUCAUUGAAAGAAUGAAUUAGGCUACAUGGGUGAAGCAUGUAGGGCCUCGAAGGAAUAUAUCUUAGUUAUUCGCAUCUAUAUAGGCAAACUUUUCCCGAAAUAAUUUUCUUUGUAACCAGAAUUUUGUAUAGGAUUUGCACGUUAAUUACUUAAUAGUCUCAUUCAAUCCCGCGAAGUUUUAUCGAGUUUUAAUUGAUAACGAUAUGGUAAUUUUAGAUCGAAAAUAGGUCAAAUAUUUGUUGAAUAUUAGCAUUACUACAUAAAAUACAUGCUCUUUUAUGGUGAAUAAUAAUAUAUCAUCGAUAGGUCUAUAUAAAUUAUGCGCCACGUUCGAGUAGGAAGGGACUAAGUAUAUCGGUAUAGAUUUUUCUUUCCAUUUACUACUGUUUGGGCAUGCAUCAUUGAUUGCAUUCGUACUCAUAUUAAUAAAUAAGAGUAGAAUUUGGAUCCAAAAAACUUGUACCCUCCAAGAAUCUACUCAGAAGAUGCUGGGGAGAAGCAUAAACCUAAGACUUCUACGACCCUACAAGAAUUUUUCUUAUUGAGAAAAAGAUAGUGCAUCGCCUGCUUAUUUAGCUAUAAUUGUGAGACAGCAAGGAAUUGGAUAGAGCGGAAGGGAAUUUUUAAAAAUUCAAAUGUCAGAAAUAUGAACAACCUCUUUAGAACAUGUCACUAAUAAGAAACUGCGCCCUUUGAUUCUUUAGUUGGCAUGUUUGGGUACCAACACUGUAGUUUGGUGGUUGUUAAUGAAUUCGCAUUGAAGAGGGGGAAUCGGAUUGUACACACGUAAUUGAUUGGGGUGAGCAAAUGGGGAGUUGGGGGUGCAGUGAAGGGAAGUGAAUGCGGAGACAUGGGAACAGCCUAGCCAUAACAAGGACCAUUUAUUGAAGGGAUGGAGAUGUAAACCAACAAAAUCGCAAAAAGAACAUGGGGGAUGCUCUCGCUAAACUAAAUUAAUUGAAGCUAAACUGAAUUAAUUGCUCGUUAGAGUUGAUAAUUAAUGACAUUAUGAUAAUUCCCCCCACCAAGGAAAGGGUUUAACAAUAAAGAAUGUAUCAUUAGAUCGUAUGAAUUAUUUGUGGCAAAUUUAAAUCAUAAGAAUGAUGUGUUUUCUUAUAUAUAUGCCUGUAGUGUACCACUAGAACUGUGGCAACUUAAUUGCUCAUCAGAAUUGUACGGUGAUUGGCCAUGUUACACUUAUGAGGGCGGAGAAUGUUACUUAUUUUUAAUUAAUAUGUUGUGCCAUAAUUCAAUUAUAUGGCGGUUUUACUUUCGUGACCCAACGUGCACCAUCACUAGGCAUUUUACAAAAAUCUUUUGAGAUGCUCAGUUCAUUUAACCUAAUGAAUGAAGCAGGUAGCUUGCUACCUAUUUUCUCAAAAAAAAAAAAUCUUUUGAGAUCAUUCUCUUUUGCUCAUCCUAUUCAUUCAGUAAUGCAGGAUUAAUGCAGGAUUGCUUAUAGGUUACGUUUGAUUAGCGCUAUUUUUUUUAAAAUUUUUAGUAAUUCAAUAGGAAUGAAAAAAAUAUAACGAUAUUUGGCUAAACGUACUAAAGAAUUUAGUUUAAUGUUGAAUUUACUUAGAAAUAAGAUUUAUUCUAAAAUACUAAUCUUAUUUCUUUGUGUAAGGAUGAAUGUCUUUAUAUUAAUAGAUUGUGAUGAUUAGUUCAUUUUUUUUCUCUCUCCCAACCCGUUGGCUUGUUGGUAUUAUUUUUUUUUUUUACUCUCUAACUCCGUAGCUCUGAUUUUAUCGUUUUCUCUCUAAACUUUUUUUUUUUUUCCUCUCUCUAAGUUAACCACUCUCUCUUCCUCUCUUUUUAAAAUCUUAAUUUUCUCACUCACUCUAAUCUUGACUUUAUUUCUCUCCCUCUAUCUUUAAUGUCAAAUCGCUCUCUUUAAGCUAACCUCUUCCCCCCCUUUUUAUCUCUUCACAUCUGUAAUCUGAAAAAUUCUCUUUCUAAUCUUAGCUCACUCUUCCUUUNAAUAAUAAUAAACAAAAUAGACAACUAAUAUCUUUUUGAGUAGAAAGAGAGAGAAAUUUAAGCUAACCUCUUCCCCCCCUUUUUAUCUCUUCACAUCUGUAAUCUGAAAAAUUCUCUUUCUAAUCUUAGCUCACUCUUCCUUUAACUUAAAUUUCUCUCUCUUUCUACUCAAAAAGAUAUUAGUUGUCUAUUUUGUUUAUUAUUAUUUGAUCAAUAAUAUUUUAACUGAUUUUUUUAAAAAAAAUGUUGAAAUUUUUUAUAGUAUUAUUGUAAAUUAAUUAACGAAACAAAUACAUUGUUUCUAAAUCUUAAAUAAUUUGGGCGUGUGAACUAAAUACUAAAAUGUCACAUUUUUUGUAAUAGAAUGAAUGAGAAUAAGAUCUUUGAAUAUCUUUUUAUUAUUAAUAAUUUUUUAUAGUGUAAACCAAACGUGUUCAUAGUGCAGAAUUAUUUUUAAAAUAUUACAAAGGAAAGGAUGGAUAUCUUGAAUUAAUAAUUACAGAUUACUUUGUAAUUUAUACAAAAUUAUAAAAUUAUUCUUCUUCUCUCUCCAAACCUUUUCUUAUCUCUCCAUUUUACUCAUGGAUACCUCAAUCCUCUUCUCUACCUCUCUAUUGGGAGGUUUUAAUGUAUUUCUUCUAUCUUUCUCUCUCCGUCCCUCCCUAUCUAUCUCUUUUCAUUUCAAGUGCAAAAGUCUUAAAAUUUAUAUAGGACAACUUAAAGAUAGUGAUUUUAUAUGUACAAUAAUUUAAUAUUAUAUUAUUGUACUAAAUUAAAUGUAAUAAGCCGUAUUGGCAGCAAAUUGGUUCACAUUAAUCAAACUUGUGGUUUAUUGCCGUAUCUAAGAAUAUUGCAUUGUGUGAACCAAGCACGCCUUACGUGGUCACUCUCUUUAUUAUGCGAAAUAUUUUCUGAACCAUUUUAUAAAAUACAUGAGGUGGCCAAUCACAAAAAUUGGGCACUUUUGCCUUGAUUUGGUUCGGAUUUAUUAGCACAAAAAAUUUGGUGGGGAUUGGUGUUAAUGUAAGACCAUUCUAUUUAUGUUUCAUCACAUGAAUUAGAUGAAUCUAAAGGUCUUCGGUUGGCACAUGGGACGGUCCAACGUUGAAAAUGAUUGCUCUUCGUAAAAAUGAAAAAACUAUUUUUUUUUUCUUAUAUAAAUUUAUAAUAAUUUAAAUAUUAAUUAAGCAUAAUUUUAAAUUUAAAAUAAUUAUAUUUUUUUAAAAAAAAUGGUUUAUUGUUUUAUAUGACUCAAUAAAUUUUUUAUAAGACACCACGCGGUAGCGCAAGAGGUGUGUCUGUUGGGGGCCGGGUUUUUUUUUUUUUGAAGUUGAGGUUAUGAAAUUUGCUCCAUAGCAUCAAAUAUAAGUAGACUGCAAGUUUGCAUGGAAGUACCAAUAUGAAAGAUUUCAUAAAAUCAUCUCUUCACAAAAUAUACAUGCGUACUGCGACUAAUAAGUAUUACAACAUUGUUAUCUAUUAGUUUUUGGGGCUACUAUACUUUUAUGAGUAUAGACCACCUUAUACUCAUAAAUUUUUAACCGUUGAUUGAUAGGAUGUGUGGUUAAGAUGAUGGUGGUCCUUACUUAGAAUGAUAGUGGUUCUCUAGGGUUGAGUGGGUAGUUGGUUGAAUAGUAUAAUCUAAUGGGUGAAAAUGAUCAAUGGAAUAAAUCUAAGGGCCGAAAACUUAUGAGUAUAAGGGAGCCAAUACUCAUAAAAGUAUAGUAGCUGGACUCUUAGUUUUAGUUUCUAGAAAAGAAAAAUAAAUUUUGGUAGGUGGAAAUAGAGUUUAGUUUGAUUAGAUGUAAUUACAAAUAUAGUAUAAUUAGAGAUGCAUGCAGUUAAAAAUGUAGUAGUUAUAAUUAUAUGCAUUAUAUUUGGUUGGAUUUAGUAAAAAGCGUUGUAACUAUAAAUAAUUUGUUUGGUUGCAUACAGUUGAGAAAUAAUUUUUAACAUUUUAUCAUUUUAUAUAUAUAUGAUGGUGAGAUUAUCUCUAAUGUAAAAAAAAUUAUUUUUUGUUUAAAAAAUAUUUAAAGAGAUGAUAUUAUCUUUUGUUUAAAGUUAUACUUUCUAACUGUUGCAGUUGGAAUUGUGGCCAAUUUAGGUGUAGUUCAAAUUGCUACAGUUGGACCUUCUGCAGUUCCUACUGCAGCAGUUGAAGUUAAAUGUAGCAAAUCAAACACCGAAUUUGUAUUUGUAUAUAGUUACAAUUGCGUGCAGUUACAACUACAUGUAACCAAAUGGUCUCUUAGAUUUA
rnacentral:lncRNA from 1 species